rnacentral:rRNA from 1 species
UACAGAGGGCGCAAGCGUUAUUCGGACUUACUCGGCGUUACGGGCGGGUAGGCGGCCUCGAAAGUCUGAUGUGCAAGCCCUGGACCCAAUCCAGGAAGUGCAUCGGAAACUGCGGGGCUCGAGUGCAGGAGAGGAGGACGGAAAUCCUGGUGUAGAGGUGAAAUUCGUAGAUAUCAGGAGGAACAACAGUGGCGAAGGCGGUUCUCUGGCCUGUAACUGAAGCUGAGGCGCGAAAGAUGGGGGAGCAAACAGG